rnacentral:piRNA from 1 species
UGAUCCCCAAGCCUCUGGGGAAGAGCCAAGGG